rnacentral:rRNA from 1 species
UCCGUAGGUGAACCUGCGGAAGGAUCAUUACUGAGUGAGGGCCCUCUGGGUCCAACCUCCCACCCGUGUUUUAUUGUACCUUGUUGCUUCGGCAGGCCCGCCUCACGGCCGCCGGGGGGCCUCUGCCCCCGGGCCCGCGCCUGCCGAAGACACCCUUGAACGCUGUCUGAAGUUUGCAGUCUGAGCGAAAAGCAAAAUUUAUUAAAACUUUCAACAACGGAUCUCUUGGUUCCGGCAUCGAUGAAGAACGCAGCGAAAUGCGAUAACUAAUGUGAAUUGCAGAAUUCAGUGAAUCAUCGAGUCUUUGAACGCACAUUGCGCCCCCUGGUAUUCCGGGGGGCAUGCCUGUCCGAGCGUCAUUGCUGCCCUCAAGCACGGCUUGUGUGUUGGGCCUCCGUCCCCCACCCGGGGGACGGGCCCGAAAGGCAGCGGCGGCACCGUGUCCGGUCCUCGAGYGUAUGGGGCUUUGUCACCCGCUCUGUAGGCCCGGCCGGCGCCUGCCGACCCUCAUCAUCCUUUUCAGGUGACCUCGGAUCAGGUAG